UCCGGUUGUUCUUUUCCUUCCUGUUCUUCUCUUUUCCGGUUGUUCAUUUCAGUUGUUCUCUUUAUUCCAGUUGUUCUUUUCCUUCCGGUUGUUCUCUUUUCCAGUUGUUCUCUUUUCCGGUUGUUCUCUUUUCCAGUUGUUCUUUUCCUUCUGGUUGUUCUUUUCAUUCCGGUUGUUCUCUUUAUUACGGUUGUUCUCUUUAUUCCGGUUGUUCUUUUCCUUCCUGUUGUUCUCUUUUCCAGUUGUUCUCUUUUCCAGUUGUUCUCUUUUCCGGUUGUUCUCUUUAUUCCGGUUGUUCUUUUCCUUCCGGUUGUUCUUUUCCU
rnacentral:lncRNA from 1 species